rnacentral:misc_RNA from 1 species
GCGGAAGGAUCAUUAACGCGCAGGCCGGAGGCUGGCCCCCCACGAUAGGGACCGACGUUCCAUCAGGGGUGAGCAGACGUGCGCCGGCCGUACGCCCCCAUUCUUGUCUACCUCACCCGGUUGCCUCGGCGGGCCGCGCUCCCCCUGCCAGGGAGAGCCGUCCGGCGGGCCCCUUCUGGGAGCCUCGAGCCGGACCGCGCCCGCCGGAGGACAGACACCAAGAAAAAAUUCUCUGAAGAGCUGUCAGUCUGAGCGUUUAGCAAGCACAAUCAGUUAAAACCUUCAACAACGGAUCUCUUGGUUCCGGCA